rnacentral:rRNA from 1 species
AGUGAACGCUGGCGGUAGGCUUAACACAUGCAAGUCGAACGGCAGCACAGUAAGAGCUUGCUCUUAUGGGUGGCGAGUGGCGGACGGGUGAGGUAUAUAUCGUAAUCUACUUUUUCGUGGGGGAUAACGUAGGGAAACUUACGCUAAUACCGCAUACGACCCACGGGUGAAAGCAGGGGAUCUUCUGACCUUGUGCGAUUGAAUGAGCCGAUGUCGGAUUAGUUGGUUGGCGGGGUAAAGGCCCACCAAGUCGACGAUCCGUAGCUUGUCUGAGAGGAUGAUCAGCCACACUGGAACUGAGACACGGUCCAGACUCCUACGGGAGGGAGCAGUGGGGAAUAUUGGGCAAUGGGGGCAAGCCUGGUCCAGCCAUACCACGUGGGUGAAGAAGGCCUUCGGGUUGUGAAGCCCUUUUGUUGGGAAAGAAAAGCAGCAGGUUAAUACCACGCUGUUGUGACGGUACCCAAAGAAUAAGCACCGGCUAACUUCGUG